GGGCUGUGUGUAUUUCUCCAUGGAUUGAGUGUUUCAAUACUUCCACAGUAUUUAGCACUUAAAGCUGAAGUAGGCGAGAUUGGAGCAAAUAUGUUUAAAAAAAGUUAUUUUUAUAAAACGGUCGCCAUAUCGUGGCAGUAGUACAUGUGUAGCCCUGGCUAAAAUUCAUUUAGAUAUCAGAAUGCAAAUAGUUAAAAAAAAAAAUAAACCAGGCUAAAUGUUUUUAUAAAGCUGGUUAAAAUGUAUAAAUAUGGUUUAAAAAACAAAAAGAGUCCAAAAUUCAUAUUUCAUGCAAAUGAGCAUAGAUUGUUUGUUUUGCACAUAAUCCAACAGGUGUUAUCAACCUUACAGUCUAACUGGGUUAGCAGCAUAGAGGUCAAUCAUUGUUUUUCUUUUGUUUUCAUUGGUUUGUCCUAAAGCAAACAGCCAAUCAAAGUCCAGUUUCAGGUAGAGGGGCGGGGCUUAGCGUUACCUGCAGGUCAAAGUGUUUGGGAGUGAAGCAGACGUCAGUUGUCACGGUCGAGUGAACAUUGAGACUGUACGUGUCCGAGAGGCAUAACGUUCAUAACUUCAGGGUUGACGACCAGUUAUCCUCUGGUUUGGACUUGUGUGACCUUCAGGAGGUGGCAGAAACAGCAAAAGCUCUGGCAAAGGCAAAGAAGAAGAAGAAGAAGAAGCAGCAGCAAAUAAACAUGGACGUAGAUGAAAGCAAACACUGGCAUCCGUGGGCAGAGUGGCUACUGUACUGGAAUCUACCAGAAAUAAACAGAAGAAGAAGAAGAGCACAUCACUGUCGCGUUGCCGCUGAGGGGAUUGGCGUGCAGAAGCAAAUCUCCACAGAAGUCAGCUGACUCUUCAGCUUAGGGCCAUGAGGACAAUUGGCAAAAAAUGAGGCUGACCAGGUCAUUGGAGCUGCCUGAAGCUACAGGGCCAGCAGCUCUCCUCUCCGUCCGUCGCAGUGUGUGUGAUCUCCCUCAGCUCCAGCAAGCUACUGCAUUUAAAGGGAGAGACUGAUUCACCAGCUGUGUUAAUCAGCUCUCCCUGGCUCUAUUCACCUGAGUGUCCCAACACACCUGUCUCCCUCCUACAGAAUGUCCUCCUUUUCUGCUGCAGGGCCAGCAGCUCUCCUCUCUGUACGUCACAGUGUGUGUGAUCUCCCUCAGCAAGCUACUGCAUUUAAAGGAAUAGACUGAUUUAACAAACGCUCACCAGCUGUGUUAAUCAGCUCUCCCUGGCUCUAUUUACCAGAGUGUUCCCACACACCUGUCUCCCUCCUACAGUCUGAAGAGGCUUAACAUGGACUCCAGGAUGCUCUGCAACUUCUGCACGUGCACCAUCGAGAGUAUCCUGAUGUCUACAUCACCGUCUGGUCUGGCAGUUGCACCGACCUUAACCGUAAGGCCCUU